rnacentral:rRNA from 1 species
UACGGGGGGGGGGCAAGCGUUUGUUCGGAAUUACUGGGCGUAAAGGGCUCGUAGGCGGCCAACUAAGUCGGAUGUGAAAAUCCCCCAGGCUUAACCUGGGAACUGCAUCCGAUACUGGAUGGCUUGAAUCCGGGAGAGGGAUGCAGAAUUCCAGGUGUAGCGGUGAAAAUGCGUAGAUAUCUGGAGGAAUACCGGUGGCGAAGGCGGCAUCCUGGACCGGCAUUUGACGCUGAUGAGCGAAAAAGCGUGGGGGAGCAAAACAGGAUUAGAAAACCCCC